GGGGGGCGGUGUAUUCAGUCCAAUGAUGGGUCCCCCAAUCGCCUGGGAGCAGGAGGUUUAUGUCCCAAUCCCAUGGGGAAGUUCUCAGUUCCAGGAAGGUUUUGACUGUGUGGAUCUCAUGGACAGCUGCAAUGCUCAGCUGACCCCCACUGGUCACAGGGAGGCACUGGGAG